rnacentral:snRNA from 1 species
GGAUGUGAGGGCCAUCUGGCUGCGACAUCUUUCACCCAUUGAUUGCCAGGGUUGAUUAGGCUGAUCUGGCUGGCUAGGUGGGUGUCCCCUUCCUCCCUCACUGCUCCAUGUGUGUCCCUCCCGAAGCUGCACGCUGGGUCGAAGAGGACGACCUUCCCCAAUAGAGGAGAGGACCGUUCUUCGGUCAAGGGUAUACAAGUAGCUGCGCUCCCCUGCUAGAACCUCCAAACAAGCUCUCAAGAACUUCCUUUGAGGAGUCAUUAUUAUAAGUCAUUAACCAUUAUUAAUUGAUGUUACACAAUAAAAU